UGAAGAUGUAACUCAGUGGUAGAGUGCUUGCCUGACAUGCACGAGGCUCUGGGUUCCAUCCCUAGCACUAUAA
rnacentral:tRNA from 1 species